AGUGAACGCUGGCGGUAGGCCUAACACAUGCCAGUCGAACGGCAGCACAGUAAGAGCUUGCUCUUACGGGUGGCGAGUGGCGGACGGGUGAGGAAUACAUCGGAAUCUACUUUUUCGUGGGGGAUAACGUAGGGAAACUUACGCUAAUACCGCAUACGACCUACGGGUGAAAGCAGGGGAUCUUCGGACCUUGCGCGAUUGAAUGAGCCGAUGUCGGAUUAGCUAGUUGGCGGGGUAAAGGCCCACCAAGGCGACGAUCCGUAGCUGGUCUGAGAGGAUAAUCAGCCACACUGGAACUGAGACACGGUCCAGACUCCUACGGGAGGCAGCAGUGGGGAAUAUUGGACAAUGGGCGCAAGCCUGAUCCAGCCGUACCGCGUGGGUGAAGAAGGCCUUCGGGUUGUAAAGCCCUUUUGUUGGGAAAGAAAAGCAGCAGGUUAAUACCCCGCUGUUCUGACGGUACCCAAAGAAUAAGCACCGGCUAACUUCGUG
rnacentral:rRNA from 1 species